AGAUUUUGGAUUUAGUAAAAGGGACACAUUACCAAGUAGCCUGUCAGAAGUACUUCGAGAUGACACAUAAUGUGGAUGAUUGUGGCUUUUCUUUGAGCCAUCCUAACCAAUUCUUUUUUGAGAGCCAACGGAUUCUAACUGGUAGUAAAGACAUCAGGAAGGAAUCCAUCCAACCAGAAGUUCCUCAACCCAGACCAAGUGUCCAGAAAACCAAGGAUGCAUCCUCUGCCCUCGCCUCUCUAAACUCCUCUCUGGAAAUGGAUAUGGAAGGUCUAGAGGAUUACUUCAGUGAAUGAUUGAUUCUUGAGCACUUAAGAAACCUUUUCCCUCGCUAGCUUUCAUUUCUUUCCAGAUUUUGCCUAUUUCUUUGUCUACUCCCUCCAACCCACCACAGUUCAUCCUCUGGAAAGCAGGCUUACGGGUAAAAACAAAGGCUUACAUUAUAUUUCGCUUUGACAAAAGGGAAAAGGAAGAAUUUCUCUUGAAAUCUAACACUUUAGUGGUAUGAUCGGAGUCCUGUUUUAAGAGACAAAACAGCUUUCUAGACUGGUUAUAGUUUCCUAGAGACAGUAGAACUAAAAACUAUGAUUUUCUUAAUGCUUACCACUGUAAUUUUUACCUAAUCCUUUUCUGGACCAUUUUUGUCAAUAAAUAUAAAAAUAC